rnacentral:rRNA from 1 species
GUGUCAGCAGCCGCGGUAAAACGUAGGGGGCGAGCGUUAUCCGGAAUCACUGGGCGUAAAGGGCGUCUAGGCGGUCCAGUAAGUCCUGCGUGAAAGCUCCCGGCUCAACUGGGAGAGCGCGUGGGAGACUGUUGGGCUAGAGACUCGGAGAGGGGUGUGGAAUUCCCGGUGGAGUGGUGAAAUGCGUUGAGAUCGGGAGGAACACCAGUGGCGAAGGCGGCACCCUGGCCGAGUUCUGACGCUGAAGCGCGACAGCGUGGGGAGCAAACGGGAUUAGAUACCCCAGUAGUCC